rnacentral:snRNA from 1 species
GUUUUCUAGGAAUAUAUAGA